CGUCAGGGUCAUUUUGAGAAAGAUCAUCCAGCAUGGACCAAAAGUGGUUGACCUGCUGUAAAACAUUCCCUGCACUGCCAGUGGAGGACAUCUUAAGAUCCAGCCCAAGAAUUCAGCCACUUUGGUAUAAACUCCAGGAUGGUUGGGCUCAGCACAGCCUGUCCCCCAGCUGACGACCCCUACCAGCCUCCACACAUUUUCAUCCUGGCAAACCAGAGGACCGCCACUGUCCCCCUGGAGAGGCCACCUUGCUUAACUUCCUGUGUCAUCGCGGCUGCCUGCGUCUGACUUGACUGGCUGCAAAUCAUCACCGGGGAGACGUCACGGCUCUGAACGAUCGCCCUCUUCUCCUCGUCUCUCCGUCAAGGCUGCAAUCAGAGACAUCUACAGGGCAUCUGAACUACUGACAGCCUACCAGCAGGUAUUUCCGCCUCCAGAGCUGUAGAGUCUGACUCUGUGGGUGCAAGCCACCUGCUGCCCCCAUGUCCCUGCUCGACAUCCACAGCUACUAAUAUCAUUAUUAUUAUUAGUGUUAUCUUUAUUAUUUUCAUUGAUUAUAUUAUUAGGAUAACUAUUAUUUUACAUCCUGUGAAACCUGCAUUGUGCUACUGAGUGUACUCUUUCCUCUUAAGUUAAAAAAAGAAUAUUGGGUCCUACAGUGUAACUGGAAUUGAAUUUUAAUCUGGCCAUGGGUCACUGUAUAAAAGACUGUUAAACUGCAUGUAAU